rnacentral:rRNA from 1 species
UUCGCAAUGCCCGAAAGGGUGACGAAGCGACGCCGCGUGCGGGAAGAAGGCCUUCGGGUUGUAAACCGCUGUCGGGAGUUAAGAAAUGCAAGGAUGUUAACAGCGUUCUUGCUUGACUAAGGCUCCGGAGGAAGCCACGGCUAACUCUGUGCCAGCAGCCGCGGUAAUACAGAGGCGGCAAGCGUUGUUCGGAAUUAUUGGGCGUAAAGAGCACGUAGGCGGCUAUGUAAGUCGGUUGUGAAAGCCUUCCGCUCAACGGAAGAACAGCAUCCGAUACUGCAUAGCUUGAGUGCGGGAGGGGAGAGUGGAACUUCUGGUGGAGCGGUGAAAUGCGUAGAUAUCAGAAGGAACGCCGGCGGCGAAAGCGACUCUCUGGCCCGUAACUGACGCUGAGUGUGCGAAAGCUAGGGGAGCAAACGGGAUUAGAUACCCCGGUAGUCCUAGCCGUAAACGAUGGGCACUAAGUAGAGGGGUUUU